rnacentral:rRNA from 1 species
GACAGAGGGUGCAAACGUUGCUCGGAAUCACUGGGCGUAAAGGGCGCGUAGGCGGCCUGCUAAGUCGAACGUGAAAUCCCUGGGCUCAACCCAGGAACUGCGUCCGAUACUGGUUGGCUUGAAUCCGGGAGAGGGAUGUGGAAUUCCAGGUGUAGCGGUGAAAUGCGUAGAUAUCUGGAGGAACACCGGUGGCGAAGGCGACAUCCUGGACCGGCAUUGACGCUGAGGCGCGAAAGCCAGGGGAGCAAACGGG